CUGUAGCCUAUGAUACUUGAUAAAUAUACUUUGAGUAGUAAAAUACCAUGAAACCACUUUCAAUCUGAGGCUUCUU
rfam:Spinacia oleracea cultivar SynViroflay scaffold17721.con0007.1, whole genome shotgun sequence.